UCGUGCUAGAUGGGGAGCUAGCGGUGCCCUGAACCCGCAAUCCGCUAUAGCGGGGUCGAAUUCCUGCUCGAGGUUUCGUUUCUACCGGGACUGUUCUCCGUCCAUCUGUGAUGAACUCUGGGUCCUGCGCGGCAGAACACUAUGAACCCCGUCAGGUCCGGGAGGAAGCAGC
rnacentral:SRP_RNA from 1 species